CGCAAGCUCCGCCCACCUGUCACAGUGACGUGCGCUAGGAAGGGGCUCGUUGUCGCCGCCUCCAAUCAGCGGCCCCGGCUCCGGUCCUCUGCCUCCAUGCGGAGCUGUGAUUGGGAGGAAAGGCCUUCAGUCCGGGCGGAGCUCGCUCGCUGAUUGGUCGAAUGCUGACUCCUGUAUCAAUCCAGGAUGAUGCAACGGAACGGGGAUCUUUCGCCGCGCCGUGCGUAGAGCAAAGCCGGCGGCUGAUUGCAUCAGACCUUCCUCCCUGCACCGUCGUGUCUGUGAGUGAACUGGAACCAAAGGACAGCAGAUGGAUGGCUAUCCUCGCAUACAGGUAGUCUAAUGAGUGCAUCUGGGCCCCAGCUGAGUUGCCUCAUUGGCCUAAUUCUCUGAUUGGCUGAGGGGAUCAGCAGACUUGCUCUGAAGACUGCAGCAGACAGGAGAGAAGCAGUACCGAGUGUAAAAUACUAGUUUCUACAAGAAAUGUCAUCUGCCCAACAAAAGAAGGCCCACAGACACUAGACAAGCCAUUGUGGAGCAUCAGAGGACAAAAGACUUUGAGUGUUCUCCCGACACCCAUGAAGAGGAGACAUGCAGGGGGACUUGUCCCAUCAGUUUGAAUUCUGGAGGAAGUAGGUGAGUGUAUCCCAAGAUGAGGACAUUCUAAACUACCGGAGCCUGACAGAGGUGGGACAUGAGUUGGUAGGACUUCCUGGCAAGAGUGAGG